rnacentral:tRNA from 1 species
GGGUACUUGGUGUAGGUGGUUGUUGCACGUGGGUCUGAAAAACCCAAGGCUCUGAUUCGAUUUCAGAAGUUCCCAC